GUAAAGGUGUCCGAAUUGUAUUGGAAAGGCAUAAACAGUCAAAGUUAUAUAUUUUUCAAGGUCGUGCAGAAUCGUUGAAGAACAAUCUACAAAGAUUUAGUACCAUGGUGCACAUUCAGUUUGGUACAGCGUCGUCAGGAUUUGGUUUGGAGUCUGUGUUGAAGAACACAGCUCAGUUGAGCUCAGCGGAUGUGGGUGAUGCCGCUUUGUCACCAUUACCUGCGAUGCUAUCGUAUUCAAUUGCUAGGGUUGGCCCAUUGGAAAAAGAUAUGGGAAGCUGAUUUUGUUGCGCAUUCUUUAAGUAUAUUUGAAGGCAUUCAAUCUGGCAAAAGUCCUUCCGCAAAAGCAUUUAGUGUUGAUUCUAUUUCAAGGUGUGUUUCAGCCCUAUUUGGUAAAUUUUAAAUUGUUUGUGAUUUUCAGGAACCAAGGUAAUUCUAUGGAGUAAUGCUUGAAAUUAUUUAUUCUAGUUGGUUAUUAUGGAAGAGGUGGAAAUUUUUUUGGUUCUUUGAAGAAGUUAGUUUGGUUCUUGUCGAAGAGUUCAAUUUAUCUCUUGCAGUUGAGAUUUUUCUCCAUAUGGAGAAAUUUUCGAGCUUUGUUUGUUAUAGGAGAAUUUGUAUCAAGAUGGAGAUUGUUGUAUUAUGACCUAUAUUCAUCUAAGGUUUGCGUGGUCUGGUGUAUUGGGUCUUGACGGCAUCUAAAUAAGGUCGAUAGAGAAAAAAGGGAUUGACAGUGCUAACCUAUCGCUAGCUAGAUGUACGAGCGACGUGACAAAAAUUUCAAUAGCGAGUUGUCCCCUGCCUACCGCUUGCCUGACACUUGUUGGUGCUCGAGCAUCGCUGUCAUCUAACUUUUCCUUCUUUGUUUAUUUCACGCACUUUUAUUUUUUAUUUCUUUUUACCUAGUUUCUAUCUUUUGGGCUAUAGUUAGGGUUUGACAUGUGUCCCUAUAAAUAGUAGAUUCUUCGUUACACUUAGAUUCAUAAGUGAGCUUAGAAUUAUUGGGAGAGACCAUAUUGUUGUAAUUUUUUAUUUUUUU
rnacentral:lncRNA from 1 species